rnacentral:rRNA from 1 species
GUGGGGAAUCUUCCGCAAUGGACGAAAGUCUGACGGAGCAACGCCGCGUGAACGAUGAAGGUCUUCGGAUUGUAAAGUUCUGUGAUCCGGGACGAAGGCAUCAGUUGAGAACAUUGAUUGAUGUUGACGGUACCGGAAAAGCAAGCCACGGCUAACUACGUGCCAGCAGCCGCGGUAAUACGUAGGUGGCAAGCGUUGUCCGGAAUUAUUGGGCGUAAAGCGCGCGCAGGCGGCCGUGCAAGUCCAUCUUAAAAGCGUGGGGCUUAACCCCAUGAGGGGAUGGAAACUGCAGGGCUGGAGUGUCGGAGGGGAAAGUGGAAUUCCUAGUGUAGCGGUGAAAUGCGUAGAGAUUAGGAAGAACACCGGUGGCGAAGGCGACUUUCUGGACGAAAACUGACGCUGAGGCGCGAAAGCCAGGGGAGCGAACGGGAUUAGAUACCCGUGUAGUCC